rnacentral:sRNA from 1 species
GCCGGGUGCUGCGGUGCAUGCCUGUAAUCCUAGCAGCUUGGGAGGCUGAGGCAGAAGGCUUGCAAGUAGAAAGUCAGCCUCAGCAAUUUAGCAAGGCCUUAAGCAACUUCCUGAGACUCUGUCUCAA